CCUACGGGAGGCAGCAGUGGGGAAUCUUGCGCAAUGGGCGAAAGCCUGACGCAGCAACGCCGCGUGGGUGAUGAAGGUCUUCGGAUUGUAAAACCCUGUCGUUAGGGACGAAGACAUGAAUCCUAAUACGAUUCAUGUUUGACGGUACCUAGAAAGGAAGCCCCGGCUAACUCUGUGCCAGCAGCCGCGGUAAUACAGAGGGGGCAAGCGUUAUUCGGAAUUAUUGGGCGUAAAGGGUGCGUAGGCGGUUUUCUAAGUCAGAUGUGUAAUCCCCGAGCUCAACUUGGGAACUGCAUCUGAAACUGGGAGACUAGAGUACUGGAGAGGAUGGUGGAAUUCCACGUGUAGCGGUAAAAUGCGUAGAGAUGUGGAGGAACACCAGUGGCGAAGGCGGCCAUCUGGACAGUAACUGACGCUGAAGCACGAAAGUGUGGGUAGCAAACAGGAUUAGAUACCCUGGUAGUCCACACCGUAAACGAUGAACACCUGGUGUAGUGGGAGUUGACCCCCACUGUGCCGUAGCUAACGCGAUAAGUGUUCCGCCUGGGGAGUACGGUCGCAAGGCUGAAACUCAAAUGAAUUGACGG
rnacentral:rRNA from 1 species